rnacentral:tRNA from 16 species
CUGUCUGGGCUCAGGUGGACGGACUUCAAAUCCGCGGGCAGCAGACAA